GGAGUGGUGUCCGAGUUGGUCGAAGGAGCACGAUUGGAAAUCGUGUAGGCUGUCAAAGGUCUCGUGGGUUCGAAUCCCACUCACUCCG
rnacentral:tRNA from 3 species